GAACCCCUGUUAAGGAAAAUUAACAAAGUGUGGUUAUUAAAGAAGAACUGAGUUGGGAGUCAGACCUGGAGGCCCGCACCCGUGGUUAAGACAUUAUACCACCUUGAGUCUGGCCUGUUGACUGAGGAUACAACAGAGAAAUGCAUAAUGUCCAGUCAAUUUAUUAAAGUUCCAAAGUCGGUCGCGCGCAGUGGCUCACGCCUGUAAUCUCAACACUUCGGGAGGCCGAGGCGUGUGGAUCACGAGAUUUCAAUAUGAUUAAAGCAGGAGUGAGGACACAGCGAAAGUGAGACAAGGAAAAGAGAACAAAAUAAAACAGGAAAGACAGAAAAGCCAAUACCACACGUGUUAAGAGUUUCAAGGAAAAUAUGUUUGGAGUUCCUGGCAUAGAGAAUGUCACAAAGACAUGUUUUCAAUAGUAGUGCUAUCCCGAGCGCAGAGAAGACCCAAAGAAAGCCCAAGUGGCUGCUGGAACAAAAUCAGACACCGUGCCACCUGUCCACACUCCUUGGCUCUGCCAUCAUGCUGAAGAUCGCUUUAAAGGACUGGCUUCCCUCCCCCCAAAAUUAAAAGAGCACAGACUGAGAAACUGAAUGUGGGAGACAGCAGUGGAUUAUGCUGUUCUCAGGGGUCACCUCAGGUUUGGAAGCAUUCUUUCAAAUUAACCCAUCUCAGGCCAUCUGCAGAGAAGAAAGGUGGUACCUAACUUUUUUUCUUGUCGGCAUUUGGUAGGGGUGUUUUAUUGACCAAAUAUGUUCCCACAACCUCGUUUUUUGUGACUAACUAAAUAUAGUAGAGUUUUAAAUUUUAUCAUCAAAAUCUAUAGACAAUUUUUGAUGAAAAUAGACUCCAUCUCUAUGUCCUGCUUUUCUUCUUCUUAUUAAUUACAUUGCUGUAUAAAAGAACAAGACUUCAGCAUCAAGAAUAUCUUGUCUCUUGGCAUUGAAUUUAUACAAGGUGCUCUUUCUUUAAUGCUGUCUCAAAGGACAUAUUUUUACUCAUUAAAAAGGAAGAUCGGAAUCUAGUUGUAUGCACUGCUCCAACAUAUUAAUAAUUAAAAUUAGGAGGUAAAUGUGGUCAAAGCUAUAGAAAGACUGAGAUGUCAUUUACAUCGAUUACUCUAUAGCACUCUACAAACAGAAAUUGUUAAAUAAUAGUUUAUAUAAAUAUUUUGUAGCAUUUCAAAUAUUUGAGUGCUUGAAGUUUCUCCUCUUUUAUAGUUCAGAUUAUCAAUUUGAAGACUUACUCCGCUAGUUAAUAUGUUUUUAGUCUCGUUUGAGUAUUAUAUAAAAGCAAUUUUCAGUUAAAUGUGUUCCGCUUACAUAAAACGUUACAAAUUAUUGAGGAUUUAAUUACUUAUUCAUGUUCCUGUAAUGUCUUUAGAAGAUUUUCUUAUUAUUACCUAUCAAUAUAUGUAUGCUUUGUCAAAGAAAAAUCAAACAUAUAUAUCAUUGAAAUUGAAACUUUUUAAAAGUACUUAUUAAUUCUAUUGAAAAACCACAUCCAUAGGAACAAUUACAAUAUAAUAUUGUGAACAUGUAAACAUAUACCCUAUGUCUAUUUUAUGUAUAAGCAUGUAUGAUUAAAAAUAUAGUGAAGAAUUUUUAAACCUAGUAUUAUAAAGUAAAAAUUAGUUAACUUCCGAUGAUUAUUUGUUAAUUAAGAUAAAAUUAUUUUGAUUUGGGUGAUUUUAAAUAAAGAAAAAUAUUAAAUUACAUGACAAAAAUUCUUUAUAAAAUGUUUAUGAUUUUUACAUUGGUUUUAUCACUUUUCCCACUAUUUUAUUUUAAGAUGACCUGCCUUGUUUAAAACACUGUAUUCAUCUUAGUUAAAUUAGAUUCCAUUUGUAAAAUAAUUAACAAAUGAUUUGCUCUAUUGUACAGUGCGGUUAUAAACUGAGUCAGUAUCUCAAGAUUUGAUCCCCAUUAUCAUCAUCUGUGGCCCUAUUUGUUUUAUAAAUGUAUUGUCUUUUUCCAUGCCUGUCACAUCUCUAUUGCUCUUUCAUUUUUCUCUUUGUCCCUUAUAGGGAGCAUUGCCUAUCUCUAGAUUAAGCAAAAGUUGCAUCAUAAAAAAGCACAAUAACCUGCUCAAUCUUUCUCACACAGAGAAAUGUUUGUUAAGUAAUUAAAGUGUAGAUGAUGAUACAAAGAGCUUGAUUAAAUUAGAUGCCAAAGUACCCUUGUGAUUCAGAAUAUGAAUGGUAUUUAAUUUCUUUGAAAUCAUUAAUUGCUGAGUGAGAUUAAUUAAUGCCAAUAUUCCAGAAGAUGUUCCAGUCAGUAAAAUGUAUACAACGUGCAAAAGAUUCAGAACUCUGAAGGGCAACAUUAUUCUAUAAUUAAGAAUUAAGAAUUAAUUCACAUUAAUUACUGGGGAGAAAUACUUUUUAAGAAUUAAUGACUGAGAAAAUGUUUUUAUUUUUUAUUUAGAAAAUUAUUUUGUGCAUGAGCAUUACCGCAAGUUUUGCAAGAAACAUAAAUUUAAAGAAACAAUUAUGUGCACAAGAUGAAUUUAAUAACAUCUUGAUAUAUUCCACGAUUGCGGUUUUAUUUGGUAAAUCUUUCAAGGCACACCAUUUAAAGAGAAUAAAUGAGUCUUGGAAAUCUUGUAGGUAAGGGUAAAUAUUAGGAUGCAUCCAGUUACAUUUACACACACAUACAGUUACAUUUACACACACAUACACGCAUACAGACUGAGUCACGUGUGUGUAUAUAUAUAUAUGAAUUUACCAAUUGAUGUUAACUAAUAUUUAUAAGAGCCAGUUGGAUUGAUAUAUAUUGUUGAACCUGAAAAAUAUUUAUUAUAUACAUGUUUAAAAUACAGAAAUAAAUAGCAAUUGCACUAGGCAUUUGAAACUGUACUAAAAUAUAAGCUGUGAACAUUUUGUGAUCAUUACAAAUUCUUACACUGAAUAAAUAUUUUUAUUUUUACAAUAUUAA
rnacentral:lncRNA from 1 species